rnacentral:rRNA from 1 species
UACGGGGGGUGCGAGCGUUGUCCGGAAUCACUGGGCGUAAAGGGCGCGUAGGUGGCUGGGGAAGUCGGCGGUGAAAGCCCGGAGCUCAACUCCGGGUCGGCCGUCGAGACUCCUCGGCUCGAGCUCACUAGAGGCAGAUGGAAUUCCGGGUGUAGCGGUGGAAUGCGUAGAGAUCCGGAAGAACACCGGUGGCGAAGGCGGUCUGCUGGGGUGAGGCUGACACUGAUGCGCGACAGCGUGGGGAGCAAACAGG